rnacentral:lncRNA from 1 species
AUGUGGGCAAUAAGAGCCGCCGGGAGCUCGGCUCAGGCGGCCUGGUCAUUCCUGCAAGUGUCUAGGAGCACAGUCAGCUCUCCCUCAGACACACACGCAGUGCCAUGUGCUCCAACUUCCCUGCCCUCCCACCAGCUGGGCCCCUGGUGCUGGCAGAGCUGGGCAACCGAGGUGACAAAUCUAUCUGCAUCGUCUGCUGGCCGGCAGGAGGUCUGUGAGUCCCCCAUGUUCUCUCACAGAGACUGGAGACCACGCAACAGCCUUCUCUCAUGGUACUGCAGAGGGAAAGAAAGGACCAGCACAACAAAACAGGACAAGAUGGACAACAUUCUUGUUUACCUCUUGGAUUCACAGUUUACAUAUAAGGCACAAAGGACAAGAGUUAGAGGGUCAGCACUUGGAGUGAAGCUGUGAGAGGGUCAGUGAAGGUGAGUGAUGGUGUGUGAAGCUGUGAGAGGGUGAAUGACGGUGUGAGAGGGUGAGUGGGGGUAUAUAUGAGUGAGGCUGUGUGUGGGUGAAUGUGGGUGUGAGAGGGUGAGU